GAGGGUAUAGCUCAAGUGGUAGAGUGUAUGCUUAGCAUGCAUGAAGUUCUGAGUUCAAUCCCCAGUACCUCCU
rnacentral:tRNA from 1 species